ensembl:lncRNA
GAGCACUGCUGCUCAUAUUGACAUUCCCACUCCUAGACCACCAGAAUAAUUUUCUCGUUUAAUAAAACGACCUGCAUUUCUUUCUUCAAUCUCUUUCUCCAGCGAUCAAGUCAGAAGUUUAGACCAACUAAAUCAAGAAUAAGCUUAGUAAUUUACUGGCGUUGUUGUUCAGGUCAGUAAGCAAUGCCAACCCAACAACUAAUAAAAACGAAUGUUUGUGAAGAUCAAGUGCACCCCAUCUACAUAUAGAGGAUUCAGCUGUGCUGGAACAUGUUCACAAUGGAGACACACGGAGAGAGAGACACACAGAGAGAGAGACACAGGGAGAGAGACAGAGAGAAAGACAAGGAGAGCGAGAAAAAGGGGAGCGGGAUACAGAAUGGGGAGGUACACAGUGAAGAGAAUCGUAGGAGGUGACGGAAGCCGUUGGCACCAGCCAGUGGGUGAAUCCUGAACGGGCCCCUACUGGUAACAGCCCUGUGCUCUCCCUCCUGACCACAGCCCCUGGCGCAGGAAAUAGGGAGCCAUUUGUGACGCAGGGAAC